ACUCCUACGGGAGGCAGCAGUAGGGAAUCUUCCACAAUGGACGAAAGUCUGAUGGAGCAACGCCGCGUGAGUGAAGAAGGGUUUCGGCUCGUAAAACUCUGUUGUUAAAGAAGAACAUAUCUGAGAGUAGCUGUUCAGGUAUUGACGGUAUUUAACCAGAAAGCCACGGCUAACUACGUGCCAGCAGCCGCGGUGAUACGUAGGUGGCAAGCGUUGUCCGGAUUUAUUGGGCGUAAAGCGAGCGCAGGCGGUUCUUUAAGUCUGAUGUGAAAGCCUUCGGCUCAACCGAAGAAGUGCAUCGGAAACUGGGAAACUUGAGUGCAGAAGAGGACAGUGGAACUCCAUGUGUAGCGGUGAAAUGCGUAGAUAUAUGGAAGAACACCAGUGGCGAAGGCGGCUGUCUGGUCUGUAACUGACGCUGAGGCUCGAAAGUAUGGGUAGCAAACAGGAUUAGAUACCCUGGUAGGAUAGCG
rnacentral:rRNA from 1 species